AAAGGUGGCUAUGCUACCGCUUUUGGAUGGGCCCGCGGCGCAUUAGCUAGUUGGUGGGGUAAAGGCUUACCAAGGCAAUGAUGCGUAGCCGAACUGAGAGGUUGAUCGGCCACAUUGGGACUGAGACACGGCCCAAACUCCUACGGGAGGCAGCAGUAGGGAAUCUUCCACAAUGGGCGAAAGCCUGAUGGAGCAACGCCGCGUGGGUGAAGAAGGUCUUCGGAUCGUAAAACCCUGUUGUUAGAGAAGAAAGUGCGUGAGAGUAACUGUUCACGUUUCGACGGUAUCUAACCAGAAAGCCACGGCUAACUACGUGCCAGCAGCCGCGGUAAUACGUAGGUGGCAAGCGUUAUCCGGAUUUAUUGGGCGUAAAGGGAACGCAGGCGGUCUUUUAAGUCUGAUGUGAAAGCCUUCGGCUUAACCGGAGUAGUGCAUUGGAAACUGGGAGACUUGAGUGCAGAAGAGGAGAGUGGAACUCCAUGUGUAGCGGUGAAAUGCGUAGAUAUAUGGAAGAACACCAGUGGCGAAAGCGGCUCUCUGGUCUGUAACUGACGCUGAGGUUCGAAAGCGUGGGUAGCAAACAGGAUUAGAUACCCUGGUAGUCCACGCCGUAAACGAUGAAUGCUAAGUGUUGGAGGGUUUCC
rnacentral:rRNA from 1 species